GUUCUUGACUCGGUGCAUAUUCUAAAAUUGGAUCAAUAAAAGAGAGGGUUGGCAUGGCCCCUGCACAAGGAUGACACACAAAUUUGUGAAGCAUUCCGUAUUUGU